ACGGCGGAGGACAUUA
rnacentral:rRNA from 1 species